UAAAAAACAAAUCCUAACUAGAAAAGACAAAAUGACUUACGUACCAUGCUAGCCAGCUAGCUAGCGUGUAGACACAAAAUAAAAUAAGGAAUCCUAACAGAUUAAUUCUAGGACUCUGUGUAUCACAACUUCACAUUGCACGGAGGGGUAUGGAAAUUAGGCUCCACCACAGCUAGCGCAGGCUCCUCCUUUGCCUCUUGUAUUUUCUUGAGCGCCCGAAUAAAUUGACGCUGUUUCGAUUCCUUUUUAGUUUGGACACUAUGAUCUCUUGGCAUUUUAUGUGUACGUGGCUUCCUUUCUAUCCUUUCUUUGAUCAAGCCUGGCCAUACACCUCUAGAUUCCAUACGUUUAGGACUAUGCACCCAUGUGCCAAUACCAUCUCUUGAAUCAGGUGCACACAUCAUAUAACUGGUCGCUAGUCUGCUAGUUACAAAAUCAAUUCUCGGACCACAAAGUUGUCGCACACGACCAUCGUUUCCUUGACAAAGUCUGGCGGCAUGCAUGGCAUUAUUUUCACAACGUUUUCCUGGCCUGACUCAUUAACUCGCUCAACUUUAAUAGAAUUGUCGGUCAAUGGUGACAUGCCCAUAUCAUCCUCCCUCCCUUGAAGAGAAACCGUCCUCGGUUUCAAGUUAUUUUUUAACACAACCUUCCUCUCCGGAACUUGCUGUUCUCUAGUGAUUGCAUUGUCCAACAUUGGCUUUAGCACGUGCUUCCUCCCAUUAUGCGUGAAAGUGUACGUGUUUGAUCUCCCAGCAUGCACUGCAUCGUGAUCGAACUGCCACGGUCUCCCUAAUAGCAACUCACAAGCGUCCAUCGGCAAGACAUCACAAUCCACCUUGUCAACAUAAUCCCCAACAGCAAAUGUCACACGUACCUUAUGUGUAAUUUUUAAUUUCCCAGAGUUAUACAGCCACUCCACAUGGUGUGGUUGAGGGUGCCGCCACAUAGACAAACCCAGCUCUUGCACAAGAUCUUUGCUAAUGGCAUUGGUAAAACUGCCACCAUCAAUUAUCAUCUUGCAAGCAUGAUUCUUGAUUUUACAUUGUGUUUUAAAAACACUCCACCGUUGUCCCUUUGCACCACUGUCAAUUUUUACCUUCUCCACCAAAAGAUUCAGCCCCUCUAUCGGUGCAUCAACUUCUUCCUUUCUUUCUUCCUGUUGUUCUUCUCUUUUUAGCAAACAAUUUUUCCAAUCUGCCCUAAACACAUCCGUUGGCAUGGGAACAAAACAGAUUUGUUGGCCCUUCCAUGAUAGAGAAUAACUAUUUUUCUUGACAUCCCGAACAGCCCCGACGCGCUUGCACCAUGGGUCCCCAAGUAGCAGAUGGCAUGACAUCAUGGACACAGGACAAAUAUGAAAAAAAUUCCGCACAACAAUAUUUUCCCAGAUCAAAAAUUAGCAAAAUCUGAUGCGUAAUUUUGAUUUCACUUUUGAACCACUUCAGCGUGUACGGUCUUUCAAGAGGUGACAUCUUCAGCCCCAAUUUUUCGACCACCUCGAUGCUCACCAUGUUGACUGUGGUACUCUCAUCGAUCGUCAGAUUGACACGUCGUUCGUUCACGACGCAACGAGUGUGAAAAAGAGUGACCUCGCCAAUGCCUUCCUCCUCCAUCAAUAUGUUCCUGCUUAACAUGUUGAUGCUCAACUCCGUAGACAAUGUUGCAAACUGAGUCGCCGUGACUAACCUUUGCUCUGAAUACCACUUGAUGUAACACGAACUAGCGAGAUGCUAAUUCGCGCGCGUAGACGGCCCGAUCUUUCACGGCGAUGGUUGAUCAACAGUUCGUCCCCUGUUCCUCCUCGCAACCUUCAAGAUAAUUUUCACCCGCGUACGAAAAUACACGAUUGAAAAUAAUGACCCCCUUGGAUCAGCACAUAGGCGUCAAUGUGAUGAUCAACCCUCCGUCGCUAGUAAAUUUUCACGACGGGAAAAUCACAGAUAAUACACUAGAUAUGGCCGCCUGUAACUCGAACGUUUUUCUGUAUAUGUCAUACUCAAAAUAAAACUCAAAACUGAUCUGUUUACACGGCCAUAGCCUGGCUUUUAUAUGCCACACCUACGCAACCCCAAAGUCUAUCUAGAAACUUAAAACUCCAACCCUCUUACGAGUGCUAACUAUAAAAAACAAAUCCUAACUAGAAAAGACAAAAUGACUUACGUACCAUGCUAGCCAGCUAGCCAGCGUGUAGACACAAAAUAAAAUAAGGAAUCCUAACAGAUUAAUUCUAGGACUCUGUGUAUCACAACUUCACAUUGCACGGAGGGGUACGAAAAUUAGGCUCCACCACAGCUAGCGCAGGCUCCUCCUUUGCCUCUUGUAUUUUCUUGAGCGCCUGAAUAAAUUGACGCUGUUUCGAUUCCUUUUUAGUUUGGACACUAUGAUCUCUUGGCAUUUUAUGUGUACGUGGCUUCCUUUCUAUCCUUUCUUUGAUCAAGCCUGACCAUACACCUCUAGAUUCCAUACGUUUAGGACUAUGCACCCAUGUGCCAAUACCAUCUCUUGAAUCAGGUGCACACAUCAUAUAACUGGUCGCUAGUCUGCUAGUUACAAAAUCAAUUCUCGGACCACAAAGUUGUCGCACACGACCAUCGUUUCCUCGACAAAGUCUGGCGGCAUGCAUGGCAUUAUUUUCCACAAUGUUUUCCUGGCCUGACUCAUUAACUCGCUCAACUUUAAUAGAAUUGUCGGUC
rnacentral:lncRNA from 1 species